rnacentral:rRNA from 1 species
UGGGGAAUAUUGCACAAUGGGCGCAAGCCUGAUGCAGCCAUGCCGCGUGUGUGAAGAAGGCCUUCGGGUUGUAAAGCACUUUCAGCGAGGAGGAAGGUGGUGAGCUUAAUACGCUCAUCAAUUGACGUUACUCGCAGAAGAAGCACCGGCUAACUCCGUGCCAGCAGCCGCGGUAAUACGGAGGGUGCAAGCGUUAAUCGGAAUUACUGGGCGUAAAGCGCACGCAGGCGGUUUGUUAAGUCAGAUGUGAAAUCCCCGGGCUCAACCUGGGAACUGCAUUUGAAACUGGCAAGCUAGAGUCUCGUAGAGGGGGUAGAAUUCCAGGUGUAGCGGUGAAAUGCGUAGAGAUCUGGAGGAAUACCGGUGGCGAAGGCGGCCCCCUGGACGAAGACUGACGCUCAGGUGCGAAAGCGUGGGGCAGCAAACAGGAUUAGAUACCCUGGUAGUCCACGCUGUAAACGAUGUCGAUUUUGGAGGUUGUGCCCUUGAGGCGUGGCUUCCGGAGCUAACGCGUUAAAUCGACCGCCUGGGGAGUACGGCCGCAAGGUUAAAACUCAAAUGAAUUGAC